rnacentral:lncRNA from 1 species
CAGUAUCUGUCAUCCGAAUUUCUACAGCAAUAAUUCCAGACAUGUAAACGUCAAAACGACUUGUAGACCGAGAACAAAUUGCUACGGCAUUCCCAUUUAAUCUGCAUAUGCUUUCGCAAAAAAUGAAAUAACAUUCAAAUGACUUGGAAGGCCAGCAUAAAACUACAAGCUAAGAAUUUGACCUCCUGCCGUAUGUGUUCUUCCGAGUACCAGUACAGCUGCAGACUCAGCUGCCGUAUGUGCCCGCCAUCUUCAGCAGAGAAUCAGAAUGUGAUUGUAUACUUGCGGCCAAAAUGAAAUUCCAGUCCCAGUAUCAUCAACAUCCAAGUAAAUUGCUGCAAAACUAACGAAUCCUUCCAUGACAAAAUCAGUGGACAUCAGUAGAGUCGGUUUCAGGGUAAGUUCAAAAGGAGGGGAAAAAAUCUCCAUCGAGUUCAGUCAUAUAAAUGUUGCGGCAACUUGGAAUUUCAGUCAGAGUCAGAGAUCAAUCCAGCUGAGAUCAAUUUCAGUCAUAGCUCUCUAGGAAUUCAGUGGACAGCAGUAACUACCAGUCAGUCUCAGGGGGCAAGAAAAUUCAGCCGUAUAAAACACGCUCGAGACGACUUGGAAGCCCAGCAGAGAAUUACAGCUAAGAAUCCAAUUUCGAGUGCGACUGUAGACUCGCUGCCGUCCAGACCCGCAUCUUCAGCAGCUGCUGCGAGAACAACGAUUCUCUGGCUCAUAUGUACCACUACAAAAUAACUGGACAGCAGGAGCAGCCUCACUCCCAGGGCAAAUAAAGUCCCAUAUCUCAACCAAAUUUCAACAGCAAUUAUUUCAGACGUCCAAACGUCGAAAUAACUUCUGGACCAAGACCCAAGCCAUGCUUACAAGGGUUCGUUUCGGUAGAAUGGACGCAGAUUUCGUUUUAUUUGAUCUGAUCCGAUUCUCUGCCGUGCAAACCACGUUUCAGCUGAACUAUACUGCCUGCCAACAUGAACACAUCAUGCAGAUACUUCCUCCUUUUUUAUAUACAAGGCCACAAACCCAUAUUACAGGUACCAAGGCAAAAGAUAAUGCAUUCUUGUUUGCCAUGUAAAUUAAUGUAUAUUUUUCUCUCUCAUGCACAUUAAGCCAAUAAUCUCACUCCCACAUGCAUGCAAAGGAUAAUUAAUGUCCUCCUUUGUUAGUACUACGAGGCAAACAUCAUUAAUAUUGCAUCGAUUAGUGUUAGUGGCCUUGUAUUUAUGCAAAUUGUAAUUCUGAUAGUGGCCUUGUAUAUAAAAAUCCAAGUGCAGCAAACAUGGCCUGGAGAUAAGGUUUCCUUUCCGACUUAAAUCUAGCAAUACAUCAUGCAGCAUGACACCAUGCAUGGAGAAGAGCAAACAGUCCAAAUCUCAUAAAUUAUAUUCAGAAAAUAUUCUUACCUGUCGAACCGUUUCAGCACAUUAGGACAUCAAAUCAGAGUCAUCAGCUCCAUCAGUUGCACUGGCAAUGGCUGUGCCUAGAAGCAUAAGGCUGCUCAUAGUGGGGAGUAACUAAGAGUAGUAACAUGAUGUUGUUAUUAGUCUAUGUUACUACCUUCAUAGUGGGGAGUAACAUACAUGUGGUGUCAUGCAAACAAACAUUUAUUAGGUUGUAGACACAUAGUGCAUUGAAAUAUGUGAUGUGAUGGUAACUAGCUAUGUUACCACUACCAUCUCUCUCCAUAUUAAAUACUUGCCACGUCAGAUUUUUUGCCCACGUGGCGUUGAUGUUACUACUUAGUUACUCCCCACUAUGACUAGUCUAAGAGCUCACCAAUUAACAACAGUUCCAGAAUCAAAUGGAUAAAAGAAUGCAACGUGAGACUGUUAGAAAGAUGAGCUGAGAAAUGUAACUCGGGCAAAAUAAUUCACCUAUGUAACUUAUUUGUACUGAUGUGUUCUAAGCUACUGCUGGCUGUCUGGCUGGAGGAAGAAGUUUUGUUUUUUUUUUUUUUUUUUUUUUUUUUUUUUUUGAGGGGUUGGCUGGAGGAAGAAGUAACACACGAGAUGAGUGGAUGGUGGAGUGUGGGCUGGCGUUGGUUUCUUUCUGUCUACUACUGCUAUGCUAUGCUUUUGAGUGGGCCUUUUUCCUUCAUUCGCAGCAAUGGACUUGGGCCCUGCCCUUGACCGACCCACCAAGUGCAUGCAAAACUUCUCGAGAAAGAAUAUUUUUUGUACACGUAUAAUAUUUUCUUUGAUUGAUGUUCAACAUUUAUCAAAUACAGUAGAUGAUUAAUACUUUUUGAUACUAUAUUUUAACACAAUUAAAAUAUAUGUUAAACAUUUUUAAUAUGCCCUAAACAUUUUAUGAGUGGCACGAAGCAUUUAAUAAAAAACGUGAAAAUUUUCAUUACAUUUUAUAAACAUUUUUUAAAAAUUCACCAACAUAUUCAUGACAUGCGCGAACAUUGUUUUACAAUAUACGGCCAAUUACAUGAACAUAUUUUUUACAACGUACAAUGUUUUUAGAAAAAAAUAUGAGGAAAAUUUGUUUAAUACUCCCUCCGUCUCAAAAUAAGUGUCUCAAGCUUAAUACAAUUUUAUACUAGAGCUAGUACAAAGUUGAGACAAUUAUUUUGGGACGGAGGGAGUAGUACAUAACAUUUAUAAAAAUACACGAACAAUUUUUUUGAAUAUCACGGAUUUUUUGAAGCACAUGAGCAUUUUUCAAAUCUCACGCACAGUUUUUUAAUGCUAUUAUUGCUUGAAUACUAUUGUUUAUACUAGAUUGAUAUUUUUAAAUGUGUGAUGAACACUUCAAAAUUUAAGUAAAUUAAUUUUUUAAUGUGUGACGAAUGCGCUUGCCACGGCGGCAGUGGAUCACUUGGUCGCCCCCCUCGCUCGCCAGGAUCUGGGUGCGGUGGCACUUACUACUGCGGCGGUGGCUGGCCGGUCCGACACCCUCGCCACUCCCGUGGAUCUGGGAGCGGAGGCGCACGCUGCGGCGACGGCCGGCAGCCGGCUGGAGAUGGCUCAUGUUGGCGCCGCCAAGACUAGAGGAAGACGAGACUAGUGGAGGGACUGGGGUUUCUUUCUACCUGCUGCUACGCUAGCAUUGG